rnacentral:rRNA from 1 species
CGUGUAGGCGGCUAGACAAGUCAGAUGUGAAAUCCCUGGGCUUAACCCAGGAAGUGCAUUUGAAACUGUCCUGCUAGAGUAAGGGAGAGGGAAGUGGAAUUCCUGGUGUAGAGGUGAAAUUCGUAGAUAUCAGGAGGAACACCGGUGGCGAAGGCGACUUUCUGGCCCUAUACUGACGCUGAGACGCGAAAGCGUGGGUAGCAAACAG